rnacentral:rRNA from 1 species
AUUGAACGCUGGCGGCAGGCUUAACACAUGCACGUCGAGCGAGCGUCGGACGGGUGAGUAAUUUCUGGGAAACUGCCUGAUGGAGGGGGAUAACUACUGGAAACGGUAGCUAAUACCUCCUACCAUCAGAUGUGCCCAUAUGGUAUUAGCUCGUCGGUGGGGUAAUGGCUCACCUAGGCGACGAUCCCUAUCUGGUCUGAGAGGAUGACCAGCCACACUGGAACUGAGACACGGUCCAGACUCCUACGGGAGGCAGCAGUGGGGAAUAUUGCACAAUGGGCGCAAGCCUGAUGCAGCCAUGCCGCGUGUGUGAAGAAGGCCUUCGGGUUGUAAAGUACUUUCAGCGAGGAGGCGUUACUCGCAGAAGAAGCACCGGCUAACUCCGUGCCAGCAGCCGCGGUAAUAC